CCCCCAACUGAUUAAAGAUAAACUGAUAAAGAACAUAUCUGAUCAGGGAAAAAAAAAUACUUCCGUUCUAGGGUGGGAAUUUUUUCGCCUCACGAUUGCUUCCUUAUCCAUGACCCAUUCAGAUGACUGAGCCAAGGUACUCCAAGGAAUAUUUGGACCUGCUAAUCUGAUGGUACUUAAUCUUUUAAAAGAACUACAAGGUCUGGAAGUGCCUUCUUUAAGGAAGCAACAAGAUUUUAACUAUCGUGUGUUAAAAAUUAAGGAAUAUGUCUAAUGAGACACUGUCAACAGAAUUGGUUCUAUGUUGGCCCUGAACCACACAAAAUCAGCUCAAGCUGAUGCUCAACACAGCUGAAUCCACAGAGCCUUCUUAUGAAUCUGAAUUGUCCCUGAUGAAAAUGGGCAGGAAGAGAGACAUUUUACUGAUGAAUUAAGAAGAAGCUAUAAGGAAAUACCAAUGUUUUUUCCUAAAAUCAAAUGAUGUGUUCGGGGAACAAUAUAAAAUUAAGAUAUU